AAGGAAGGAAGGAAGGAAGGAAGGAAGGAAGAAAGGAAGGAAGAAAGGAAGAAAGAAAGAAAAACAUAGAGGGAAUAAAACAAUCAGCAGAGGCAAAUGAGGUGAGCAGUUAGUCUGCAACCCUUCAGACCAGCUUGACUUUCACUUCUGGUCAUACCAGCCUGAUGUCGAUGCAAGGAUCUCCAGCACCCACAAGGAUGCUCCAGGAUGCUGAAGAAGGUUUUCGCACCACCUCCCUGUCCAAGGAAGAAGGUGCUUUAUUUUCCUGUUUGUUUCCAUUGGCGUUUAAAAUCACUUUUGCUGUGUUUGUUGGUGUGGUAACAGCUCUGAGAGGCCCCAGGUAAUAGCAGUGCUGUCAAACACUGAGGAUUUAUCAGAUACAAAACGCCGCUGCACUCCACGUUACUCUUCCAAAGACCUCAGUGCACCCACAGUGGUCCUGGAGAACACUGCAGUGACCAACAACUGCUCUGAUAAGAUUUCAACGGUGAAUUUGACUGGCCCGGUGUGUCUGAGUUACGUUUCCAGCAGGCCCACUGGAGGUACAGAAGAGACAGUUUCCAUUUCUGAGCUCCCAUUCUUCUCUGCUGUCUCGAUCACACCCCCAAAUUCACCACUGGAGCAGUGAUGGCUCCUCUUGUCAGCUGCUUUCUUCUGGAGACAAACGUGCACAAGAGGCUCUGGGGUGCACAUUGGCAAAGCAGUGGGCUGGUGUGUCCUAUAUUUCCUCCACCAUGACUUCAGGUUGCCAACCUGUAUUACACCAGUAUUAGAAAAAAGAGGAAACUGGGGAUUUAUUUUAUUUUAUUUUUUAUUUUUGUGUGUAAGUGGAGAAAAAGUGUAGAUUCACUCGCCUAAUCUUUGCGGGUUGAUGUAUUAAAAAUGUACUACAGAUUUACUUUACUCCAUAUUCUCUCUUUCUGUUGUAUGAGUCAUGAGCAAAAAAACAUGGGGGAAUUUCAGGUGAUUUUUAUUCGGGUAAUUAGGGUGAUUCCCAAAUCCCUCUGAUUCACGCACAAAUUGCACUCAUUACAGCUUUCUAUCCAUGGUUUCCAACAAGCUAUAUGACUGUGUCUGUGCUAAUACUACUGGACACACUGCAGUCUGCAAGUCACCACGUCUGUGACGUGUUUUUUAAUCUGCCCACCUUUACAGUCUGAAGGAAGAUACUAUCUAUUAAUCUUUAAGCUAGGAGCUGCAGCACUGCUGACCUCUGCCUCUGGGGUGACAUCAGCUUGCUGAGGAAUGAGCUUGUUCUCCCCGAUCAGGUGCAAGGGACAGACCAGCCUGAGUUCUGGCAUGGAGAGGAGGUUGAUCAAUUCACUGGCUCCUGCCGGCAGGGUAUAUAAUUUUCCAUUUAUCUUAUCAACUUUUUUUGGCCUACCUCCAGCAUUGUUUUCCAGAGGAAGCAGGAGGAAAGUCCUCUGACCAAUGAGUGCUCCUCCAAAAGGGAUUUGGCGUCAUUUGUUCCUUCUUCAAUCAUCAAAGUGACAAUUUGAGCAACUUUUAACUGAGGUGGAAACCAAACCUGGCUCAGAGAGUCAUGAAAUCACAGAAUCAUGAAAGUUGGAAGACCUCCAAGAUCCCCAAGCCCAACCCCACCCCAUCCCACCACAUCCCCAAGUGCCACAUCUCCAUGGUUCUUGAACACCUCCAGGGAUGGGGACUGCACCACCUCCCUGGGCUGCCUGUGCCACUGCAUCACUGCUCUUUCAGAGAAUAAAUUUUUAUAUCUCUUAGGGUUAUGGCAAAAUUCCCUUUCUUACCUCCAAUGUGGAAUUCCAGCACAUGGGUACCAGGAUUGUGAUGCUGGUGAGAACAAUACAGGAUAAUGUGUAUGUAUGUAUGCACCAGACAACAAGUAGGAAUUAGAGAUUGUUAUGUUUAGGGAGCCAAGCACAAUAAACUUAGGAAAUAGCAGCAAUAAAUGGAUGUGUGGGUUCUGAAUUUUGUAUUUGUUUUACUUUUGUUCUUUGCUCACCAGGAAUAAAGCAACAUAAUCCUGACAGCAUGCAUGCUACAAGCUCUGGUCUCAGUGGAGGAGAUGAGGAUGGUUUAGCCCCAGGAAAUGUGCUCUGUUUGAUGAUAUUGAACAAUAAACCAAUGCAAAAUGUAAAAGAAUGAAAAAUAGCAAGGUCUUCUCAGUACUUCCCCAGCCUCAGCUGUAAUCCUUUGGCAUCUGUAGGGUGGUUUUGAACUCUUCUUUAUGGUGAUGGACUGCACUCUGCAGAUGACAUCGGAGGAAUUUACUGCAAUGAAACAUAACACCUUAAUGAGGAAAAGAACCGCUUUCCUCCUAAUGCAGCAGCUUUGUCUGGUUUUUCCCUCCACCACGCAGUGUGAUGGUUCAGAUCUAAGACUCGUGUGGUUGUUGAAUUGCCAUGAUGGAUUUUAGAAAGGGGAAAAUCAUGUCAAGUUUAUGUAAGCAGCUGCUCUUUGGAAAUACAUCUUAAUUACGGGUAAAAAUACUAAGUCAUAAC
ensembl:lncRNA